rnacentral:tRNA from 1 species
GGAGAGGUGCCGGAGUGGUUGAACGGGGCGGUCUCGAAAACCGUUGUAGUCUUUUGACUACCGUGGGUUCGAAUCCCACCUUCUCCGC